GAGUUCACUUUGCUGCUGAUUGCAACACACUGGCUUAUCCUGGCUCCUGACAAUGCUAACAACAUGACAGAAGAAGAGACCUAGAGGUGUCCAGCUUCUGUAUUUCUCAUUAUUUUAAAAGAAGGCGUAGACUUUCUUGCAUGCUUCUGAUGCAGAGCAGUUACUUCACACAUGCUCACAGCUCAAAUUCUACAGAAAGAGUUGUAGGCGAAAGGUGAUAACCAUGGCUGUCAAAGCUGUUGGUAUAUUUCCUUGGUCAGAUGCGAUAAUGAUACAGCAGGUCAAGGGCCCAGUGCUAACAAGUGAAUGGACAAGUGCCAGCUCUUCAAACCAGCCAUCAGCAAGGAAGGCCACACUGUGCAGAAUCCAUACAUGCCAAAAGGGAAGAAGUCGCUUAGUUUUGUGUAACUGGGAUUCCGAUUUGUAAAGUAAAGCUCACCUAGGAUCUCAAAAUAAUGACUUGUUAGAAAAACUAGCACAGAGCAAACAGCUACUGGGAGAAGACCUUAGAUGCAUAUCCUGGCCCUCUCAUUAAAAAUAAACAUCUGCAUGGCUUCCAAGCACUUGGGGAAGAUAUCUCUAUACUGCAUGGGAGAAAGGGAAAGCACUCUGAGUCUGGAUGAACUGCAGAAAACAGAACAAGGCUUAAUUGCACUACCUCUGAUUAAGUGACUCUAAUGAGAAUUGAAGAACACUGAUGACACACAUGUAGAGAAGUAACUGGAACAAUCUUCAUAAUUAGAGAUGCGACUCAAGAUAAGCCUUCUCAUUCCCUGGGUGAUUCGUUAGCAAAAGUUUGUUCCUCCAUCUACCCAUCCACCU
rnacentral:lncRNA from 1 species